rnacentral:tRNA from 1 species
AGGAACUUAGGAUUAAACUAAACCAGGGGCCUUCAAAGCCCCAAAAAAGAGUACUAACCUCUUAGCUCCUG